CUUGGUCAUUUAGAGGAAGUAAAAGUCGUAACAAGGUUUCCGUAGGUGAACCUGCGGAAGGAUCAUUAUUGAAUUCACUAUGCGACGCUGCUGCUGGCUCCUUCGGGGGUAAUGUGCACGCUUAGCAAAUGUCAUUUCAACCACCUGUGAACCUUUUGUAGUCUUUGGGUGACGCUACUUUCAAAGGAAACUUUGGAUUUGAAUGCUGCAGGCUUUCUGUUACAAGAAGGUCCGCUUUAUUCUACAGCAGAGCCCGGGUCUAUGCAUUUACACACUCUAUUGUAUGUUUUGAAUGUAAUUCAAGGGCUUAAAUGCCUUUAAAUUUUAUACAACUUUCAGCAACGGAUCUCUUGGCUCUCGCAUCGAUGAAGAACGCAGCGAAAUGCGAUAAGUAAUGUGAAUUGCAGAAUUCAGUGAAUCAUCGAAUCUUUGAACGCACCUUGCGCCCUUUGGUAUUCCGAAGGGCAUGCCUGUUUGAGUGUCACUAAAUUCUCAACCUUGGAAAGCUUUUUGUUUUCCAUGGCUUGGAAGUGGGGGUUUGCGGGCUUUUCGAAGUCGGCUCCUCUGAAAUGCAUUAGCUGGGUUUGCGCCUUCAGCCUAUUGGUGUGAUAAUUAUCUACGCCUCUUGGUCGUUAGCGUGUUGUACUUUCUAGCUUCAAAUCGUCCUUCAAUGGACAAUACUUGACCAUUUGACCUCAAAUCAGGUAGGACUACCCGCUGAACUUAAGCAUAUCAAUAAGCGGAGGAAAAGAAACUAACAAGGAUUCCCCUAGUAACUGCGAGUGAAGCGGGAAAAGCUCAAAUUUGUAAUCUGGCGGUCUUGGGCCGUCCGAAUUGUAAACUAGAGAAGCGUUAUCCGCGCUGGACCGUGUACAAGUCCCCUGGAAUGGGGCGUCAUAGAGGGUGAGAAUCCCGUCUUUGACACGGACUCCCAGGGCUUUGUGAUGCGCUCUCAAAGAGUCGAGUUGUUUGGGAAUGCAGCUCAAAAUGGGUGGUAAAUUCCAUCUAAAGCUAAAUAUUGGCGAGAGACCGAUAGCGAACAAGUACCGUGAGGGAAAGAUGAAAAGAACUUUGGAAAGAGAGUUAAACAGUACGUGAAAUUGCUGAAAGGGAAACGCUUGAAGUCAGUCGCGUUAGCUAGGGAUCAGCCUUACCUUGGUGAGGUGUACUUCCUUGUUGACGGGUCAGCAUCAGUUUUGGCUGCUGGAUAAAGGCUGAGGGAAUGUGGCACCUUCGGGUGUGUUAUAGCCCUUGGUCAGAUACAGUGACUGGGACUGAGGAACUCAGCACGCGCAAGCUGUGCUCAGGAUGCUGGCAAAAUGGCUUUAAUCGACCCGUCUUGAAACACGGACC
rnacentral:rRNA from 1 species